rnacentral:rRNA from 1 species
UACGAAGGGGGCAAGCGUUGUUCGGAAUUACUGGGCGUAAAGGGCGCGUAGGCGGCUUAUCAAGUCAGGCGUGAAAUUCCCGGGCUCAACCUGGGGGCUGCGCUUGAUACUGAUGAGCUUGAAUGCGGGAGAGGGAUGUGGAAUUCCAGGUGUAGCGGUGAAAUGCGUAGAUAUCUGGAGGAACACCGGUGGCGAAGGCGGCAUCCUGGACCGGUAUUGACGCUGAUGCGCGAAAGCCAGGGGAGCAAACGGG